GACUCUGGCUUAAUGAUUAUAUAGAUUGGAUGUUUCGUCUUUCAGACUUUAUGUCGACUAUACGUAAAAUCCAAACUGCAUGAUCAUGUUUUUGAUUAACGGCCUGAGCUUGAUCACAAGUUUUGAUUGGUAUCUGGAUACCUAUGGCGUCUUCGAUCGCAUAGUACACAAAUUUCGAUAGUGCUGGUGGCAGCAUCUACAGAGGCUUUGGCUGUGGAGGUGGUGGACAACAAAGCUCUCUAACUAGUCAUCAUUUGUUCAGGUUUUGUAGUGGCCAUACAUUGGAUGCUCCUAUCAGAAGUGCUUGUUGCUGUAUGAUAGGCGAUGAUCAGACUUGAAAAUUUUUGUUCGGAGCUUGGGUUUUAGAGAAGA
rnacentral:lncRNA from 1 species